rnacentral:lncRNA from 13 species
GCUCUAUGUGCUCCUCAUCCAUUGCUCUAAGUACCCCUGUUCUUGACUCCAGACUGAAGGCUUCCUUUGACAGUGAUUGAUGGCCACCCUCUCACAGGAAGAAUGACUAACUCCAACCUGAUAGUCCACCACCUUACAAGUCCUCCUCACUGCAGUACAAGGCCAGAAGACAGCUCAGCUGGGAAAACCAGCUGUAGUCAGAAGUGAACAACAGAGGCUAUGUGCUGCAGAUUGGUGGAUAGCAGCUUCAGUCACACGCAAUGCAGCAAUGGUUGCAGAGAAAACAAGUUCACAAAGCAUCAGCUCACACAAGUCAGAGGAGGCAGGGGCAAAGAUCCAGGGGGAUCCUCACCACCAAGAAGACUAGAUGGAGAGGCUCACCGAUUAUCAGGAUGCUGGUGGGGUCCACGGAGUGGUGAUAUUUUCUUUGAUCUGUCCCCCCCAUCUCUUUUCUCUUUCUUUCUCUUUCUCUGUCUGUCUCUCUCACAUUUACUGUUAAAUAAAAUCCAUACUAUUGACUUUGACAUAUGGUCUUAUUUGCACCUUAAUUCAGGCAGAGGCAUUUCUAAUAAUUUUAAGAACUGGACCAAAACAAAGGAGCAUCAUGUUUUCAUCUGUGCUGGCAACAGCAGAAGGAUCAUAGAUAUCACUAAACUCCCCUGUGCUUGCACCACUUAUUUAAUGGAAUUUUUACCAGGGAGUGUUCACUGGAAUUUCAGAGGAAAUAUAGAUUAUCCUCUAAACCUCUAUAUCUGUAAGACAGGGAAUUUUUAUUCCUUCUCUCUCCUUACCUUCAUGCCAUGGCCUCUCCUGCUUUUGCAGUCCUGCUAGUGUUGGCUCUUCCUUUAGCAUUUCCACCAUGUCUCUUUUCUGCAGAGAAGAACUCUGCACCAGGGGGUUGGUUUUAGGUAGUGGCAAAGGGGAUAUAAGGUCCUGGAACUUCAGAGCUUAACUAAAGCUUGUUCAAGCCAAUCAGUAAUUUUGGCCAUGUGGUUUUAGAAGGUUUUUUUAAAUAAAAAUUAUUGUGCAACAGG